rnacentral:rRNA from 1 species
AGCGAACGCUGGCGGCAGGCCUAACACAUGCAAGUCGAACGAACUCUUCGGAGUUAGUGGCGGACGGGUGAGUAACACGUGGGAACGUGCCCUUUGGUACGGAAUAACUCAGGGAAACUUGAGCUAAUACCGUAUGUGCCCUUCGGGGGAAAGAUUUAUCGCCAUUGGAGCGGCCCGCGUCUGAUUAGCUAGUUGGUGAGGUAAAGGCUCACCAAGGCUACGAUCAGUAGCUGGUCUGAGAGGAUGAUCAGCCACAUUGGGACUGAGACACGGCCCAAACUCCUACGGGAUGCAGCAGUGGGGAAUCUUGCGCAAUGGGCGAAAGCCUGACGCAGCCAUGCCGCGUGAAUGAUGAAGGUCUUAGGAUUGUAAAAUUCUUUCACCGGGGACGAUAAUGACGGUACCCGGAGAAGAAGCCCCGGCUAACUUCGUG